UGCCAGCCGCCGCGGUAAUACGGAGGGGGUUAGCGUUGUUCGGAAUUACUGGGCGUAAAGCGCACGUAGGCGGACUGGAAAGUUGGGGGUGAAAUCCCAGGGCUCAACCCUGGAACUGCCUCCAAAACUAUCAGUCUAGAGUUCGAGAGAGGUGAGUGGAAUUCCGAGUGUAGAGGUGAAAUUCGUAGAUAUUAGGAAGAACACCAGUGGCGAAGGCGGCUUUCUAGUUUAUUCCUGACGCUAAGGCGCGAAAGCAAGGGGAGCGAACAGGAUUAGAUA
rnacentral:rRNA from 1 species